rnacentral:rRNA from 1 species
AUACGGAGGGUGCAAACGUUGCUCGGAAUCAUUGGGCGUAAAGCGCACGUAGGCGGUUCGGUAAGUCGGAUGUGAAAGCCCUAGGCUUAACCAAGGAAGUGCAUUCGAAACUGCCAAACUUGAGUAUGGGAGAGGGUUGCGGAAUUCUCGGUGAAGAGGUGAAAUUCGUAGAUAUCGGGAGGAACACCAGUGGCGAAGGCGGCAACCUGGACCAAUACUGACGCUGAGGUGCGAAAGCGUGGGGGGCAAACAGGAUUAGAAACCCUAGUAGUCC